UUUCAGAUACUUAGAUAAUUGACAGCUGACAAAUAUAUGAAAAGAAUAAUAAGCAUUAGAAUUUUAGAGAAUAACUGAAUUUUGAAGUACAGUAUAACACGAUGGAAUUACAGUUAUAGAUUGAGGUUUCAUCACAUUGUUCAUGGGCAUAAACUGCAUUUUAUUCUCACUCAGAUAGGCCAGCCUUACUUAGGAAUUAUUUUAGCCUAUUAAUAUAAUCAUCAUUAAUAUAAUAAUCAUGAUUUGCAUCACUCUGUCAACAGCUUCUUUGCCACAUUUUUCAGUGCUCUUAACAGACACAUUUUGAGCUCUACAACUUCAUAGAUGUUCAUUCUUUUUAUUGAGUUAGUUAUUCUUCAAUUUUUCGCUCACUAUUUUGAGUUUUUAAUUAUCCUCUCCAAAUGGGUAAAAUACUUUGAAGGUACUAUCAACCACAAUUUACCUUUGCUUAACUGAAUCCUUUGUGUGUGUAAUUAGUGAUAAACUCGUGUGGUCUAUAAUAAGCUACAGGCUCCAGAUGCAAUUAAGUUUUCAAAACAUUACAACUGAUAAUGAUAUGUGCUGUUUCUCUUCAGACUCGCAACCACAGAAAUUUAAAACAGCACCUUCGUGCUAUGUAUAGGACAAAAAGACAGCACAUUACAAGAUUGGAAAGUGCCACAGACACUGCAAAACUCAUUCAGUUAGUAUAUGAAGCAAAUGUUCAGCAUUUUCAGAGCAUUGACUUUGAUGCUCUUGCAAAGCAUUUUAAAAAUCGAAAUUGGCUCUCCCUUAUUACUCUCUUCCGCAGAGUUUAUGAAAUGAAAAUCCCUCAUAAACAUUGCAUAACA